UACGUAGGGGGCUAGCGUUGUCCGGAUUUAUUGGGCGUAAAGAGCUCGUAGGCGGCUUGUCGCGUCGUUCGUGAAAACCCGGGGCUCAACUCCGGGCUUGCGGGCGAUACGGGCAGGCUAGAGUUCGGUAGGGGAGACUGGAAUUCCUGGUGUAGCGGUGAAAUGCGCAGAUAUCAGGAGGAACACCGGUGGCGAAGGCGGGUCUCUGGGCCGAUGACUGACGCUGAGGAGCGAAAGCGUGGGGAGCGAACAGG
rnacentral:rRNA from 1 species